AACGAACGCUGGCGGCGCGCCUAAUACAUGCAAGUCGAGCGAGAAGACGUAGCAAUACGUUUGUAAAGCGGCGAACGGGUGAGGAAUACAUGGGUAACCUACCCUCGAGUGGGGAAUAACUAGCCGAAAGGUUAGCUAACACCGCGUACGCUCCUUGGACUUCGGUUCAGGGAGGAAAGCGAUACCGUGGGUAUCGCGCUCUUGGAUGGGCUCAUGUCCUAUCAGCUUGUUGGGAGGUAACGGCUCACCAAGGCUUCGACGGGUAGCUGGUCUGAGAGGACGAUCAGCCACACUGGCACUGCGACACGGGCCAGACUCCUACGGGAGGCAGCAGUAAGGAAUAUUGCGCAAUGGGCGAAAGCCUGACGCAGCGACGCCGCGUGGGGGAUGAAGGUCUUCGGAUUGUAAACCCCUUUCGGGAGGGAAGAUGGAACGAGCAAUCGUUCGGACGGUACCUCCAGAAGCAGCCACGGCUAACUUCGUGACAGCAGCCGCCGUAAU
rnacentral:rRNA from 1 species